AUUGAACGCUGGCGGCAGGCUUAACACAUGCAAGUCGAGCGGGGGAGGUUGCUUCGGUAACUGACCUAGCGGCGGACGGGUGAGUAAUGCUUAGGAAUCUGCCUAUUAGUGGGGGACAACAUUCCGAAAGGGAUGCUAAUACCGCAUACGCCCUACGGGGGAAAGCAGGGGAUCUUCGGACCUUGCGCUAAUAGAUGAGCCUAAGUCGGAUUAGCUAGUUGGUGGGGUAAAGGCCUACCAAGGCGACGAUCUGUAGCGGGUCUGAGAGGAUGAUCCGCCACACUGGGACUGAGACACGGCCCAGACUCCUACGGGAGGCAGCAGUGGGGAAUAUUGGACAAUGGGCGGAAGCCUGAUCCAGCCAUGCCGCGUGUGUGAAGAAGGCCUUUUGGUUGUAAAGCACUUUAAGCGAGGAGGAGGCUCUUAAGGUUAAUACCCGGAAGUCCUGACGGUACCGGAAGAAUAAGCACCGGCUAACUUCGUGCCAGCAGCCGCGGUAAAAC
rnacentral:rRNA from 1 species